ACAAAAUCAGAUUAGUGGUUUCAAAUAGUUGAGCCUGCAAUUAGAAAGUCCAAGGAGUUAUGAACUUGUGCACUAAAAAAAAGUAAACAUAUUUGACAAUAAAAUGUACUUAAUACAUGAUAAACAUUGUGUACAAGAGAAUGGUCAAUUAAAUCAUAUAAUUUGGUUCUAUACAAAAGGAAAUUUCCUCUUUUGUGUACAUCCUAAAGACCACCCCCUUGUGAUGAACGCUUUAUCCUUCGAGUCAAAUGGCACAGCUCCUGUCCUUUGUGGCAAAAUAAUACCCAUCAAUGUCCAAAGCAAAAAGAUUAUGUAAUGCAUCGCAACUGAUUGAUUGUUUCAUCUCCGCAACUACAAAUCGUGUCUUCAAAAGGUUGCAGAAGCUCUAAACUUCUCCGGAAUAGCUGCAACAGAAAAGAAUAAGCUAUACCAGCAGUUGGUAAUCCCAUGAAUCGUGUCUUCAUGGCCCCACCUAGCUAGUAUCAACAAACGCCAAAAGUUGGUGAUCCCAUGAAUGUAUUAAGUGAUUGUCUUAAAAGUUUGUACCAGACCUCACACAAUAUCCCUGCAAAAAUUGGACAAACUAAAACUACUAAUACUUUGAACUUGCACAAAACUGAAAGGUACCAUUUUUAUUCAAGCUACAUUUACAGGCUGCUUUUUAGUUACAGAAAGUUGGGAGAAACAUAAUCAAAGCAAGCCCGCAGAUAGUGAUAGAUGAGGCAGAACAACUACUACGAUCCAGUCUCAACAUACCAAUUACGAUGGAUGGGUUGUAUAGUAGUUGCAAUACAUUUGAAAAUAUCAGCAGCGAGAUGUUUAGCUCAACCGUUCUAUUAUGCAAUUGCAGAGAGCAAAAUAAGUUAAUUUUACGUGAGCAUCAAGGAGUAUAACUGGUUCAUGAGAUAUUCCGAAGUCGACAUCUGCAGUACAAUGCUUUGCUGCUUUGGUUUCCUCAGUUUGUGUAGCAAGCAGAGGAUGCAUCCCUACAGAAAAUAAUCACCUAAUUAAAUUUUGUGCAGUUAAUUUGGAACAUACUGAUGCAAAGAGCAAAAUAAGUUAAUUUUACCUGAGCGUCAUAGAUUCUAACUCGUCCUUGAGAUAUCCUGAAGUCAACACAUGCAUUCAAUUGCUUUGCCACUUUGAUUUCCUCGGUUUGCAUAGCAAGCGGAUGAUACACUCCUACAGAGAACGGUCACCUAAUUAAAUUGUGUGUGGUUAAUUUGGAACAUACUAAUGCAGAGAGCAAAAUAAGUUAACUUUACAUGGGAGUCAAGGAGUAUAACUCAUCCAUGAAAUAUCCUGAAGUCAACAGCUGUUGUACAAUGCUUUCCCAUCACUUUGAUUUCCUCAGUUUGCAUAGCAAGAGGAGGAUGCAUUCCUACAAAGAACAGUCACCUAACUUAACUUUUGUGUUGCUCAAGUUUGGUAUGGAAUGAACUGCUAAGGCUAUCUUUGGUAUGAUUCUCAAGUAACCGUAUCGACCCGGAAAAGCUUUUGAAAUUUUAGAUGUGUUGAAGCAUAGAAGCUCGAUAACAAAUUAGAGAUUACAAUGCGGAAGCAUUAGUCAUUAUGUGCAUUAAAACUGACCUUGAUGCCUCCAAACUUCUGCAACAUUAAGAAGACGUCUUUGCCUCUGUUUGAGUAGAAAUAUGGUCCAUUAGUUUGCAGAAAAGGAAAGAUAAUAAACAAGAUAUAUUUGAAGCUUGAACAACAGAUUUACACUAUGAAGAAAGCAAAAAAAAAUCUUCCUACUAACAUCAUUGGGAAGACAUGAACAUCUACAUUAGGUUUCGCAUGGCAUUAAAUUAAACAAAGGUAACCAGUUAAAUUCCAGACCAAUGUAGAAUCUCAGCUUUACACGGUAAAUCUAAACCAUUUGUUCAUCACACAAAAAUUAGGAGCCAGUAGAAAGGAUGGGGACCAAAUAUCAUCUGCAGCAGUAGCUCACAAAAGUCGGAACCUGCGAGCGCGGAUCAUGAAUGUCAACAAACAAUAUAGCCUGCAGUUCUUUCCUCCUUAUCAUGUUAGGAGCAAAGCCCAUAAUACCAUAUUACUAUAACUUGUGAAUAAUAAGCUCACAAAAAAGUAUAAUUGUCCAGGGAAACUUGGUUUUCAAUUUUAAAGUUAUAACAGAACAUUUGGUCGCAACAAAUAUGAAUGAUUGGGUUUAAAGCCUGAAAAAGUAGAUUUCGCUCAAUUUCUUAAAGCCAUGGACCUAGUUCAAUUAUACAAUAGACUAAUCAUUGUUUAGGCAAACCAUGAGAAGUCAGAUUCCACUUACAAAAAUACAUUAAAGAGCCUGCAGUUGAAUGCAGACAAAACUGAAUUUGGCUCCGGCCUACAAAUAGCAAGGAUUAAGUGGAGAGAACAAGGCAGCUGGCCAGGCUGCCGCAUGGAGCUAGGUAGAGAAAGCUGACUUACUAACAUCACUAAAAGAAGGAGCUUACCUAGGUCGAGGUCGGAGGACGCGCUACCAUGGUUGCUGAAACACGAACUCCGUCCAGAUCUCCUCAUCCUACUCGAAGCUGCUGGUGGAUCCACCUUUCUUCAUUCUUCACAAAUUUCCAGCGGCUGUAGCUUCAAAAUGUGUGGAACUCACUGCAACACAAAAUGAGAUAAUACAUUUUUUGGAAAAACAUGAAGUUGUUGCAAUUCCCAUAAUGUCUCAACUGAAUUUAACUGAAGAACAAAGGCGACACUACUGGCUCCUCGUAUUAAACAAAUUUAACUGAAGAACAAAGGCAACACUACAGGUUCCUCAUUUUUUUCAACUGAAUUUAACUAAUCUCAUAGUAGUAUUUUGGGGUUCGUACCACUGCUGCUCACCGUGUGCCAUGGCCCCAUGGGGAAGAUGUGCGUCAGAUGGGGAGGUGGCCGGCAUGCCUGCGGGGAGGUGGACGGCGCGCGGCGGCGGGACCGGGCCAUAGGUCUGAGCGCAUCCGUCACCACCGGCAAGCAGCCGAGCUGCUCCCAUGUGACCAUGUCACUCCUGGCCUCUCCUGCUCCAGAUCGAGGCCAUGCUCCUGGCGCCCUCAAAAAGAGAGGAAGAGGAGGUGAGGCGGGAAGGAAGAUGGGCAGAAGGGUAGCUCACAAGAGUCGGAACCUGCGAGCGCAGCGGCGACGACGGGGCCGGUGGAUCUGCAAGCGCCAUGACCACCUGACCUGCUCGCUACCCCUCUUCUCUUCCCUUCCCUCCCUUCCCUUCUGAAACCUCCCUUCCCUUCUGAAACGGGAGGGGGGAGGUUGCAGGCGGAGGCUGGCCGGAGGAGACGGGCGCGAGUGGCGGCGGGCUAGGGUUUCCCACCAAAGGCGGCUGGCCAGGGAGAGAGAUCGAGGAGGGAGGGAGCGGUGCGGGCGAGGGGAUUGGGCGUGGGGCAGGGAGGGAGCGGUGCGGGCGAGGGGAUUGGGCGUGGGGCAGGGAGGGAGUGGUGCG
rnacentral:lncRNA from 1 species